CGUGUAGGCGGCGAAGUGUGUCCUGUGUGAAAUCCCCCGGCUCAACCGGGGAAGGGCGCGGGAUCCUACUUUGCUGGAGUGCGAGAGAGGGUGGCGGAAUUCUCAGUGUAGAGGUGAAAUUCGUAGAUACUGGGAGGAACACCGGAGGCGAAGGCGGCCACCUGGAUCGUAACUGACGCUGAAACGCGAAGGCGCGGGGAGCAAACAGGAUUAGAUACCCUGGUAGUCCGCGCGGUAAACGAUGAUGACUAGGUGUUGGGAGAAUUGACCCUCUCGGCGCCGACGCUAACGCAUUAAGUCAUCCGCCUGGGGAGUACGGUCGCAAGACUAAA
rnacentral:rRNA from 1 species